GUGAGGGGGGUUACUGAGCGUUGCCCAGGCUCGGCUUCUGGAACAAGCAAGUCACAACACUGACUGCCUGGCUCCUGACUCUGCCGCAGCCACACUGGCUUCCAAACUCCUGUUCUGAACUGCAAAAACAGUCAAAUGUGGAAUCAAAUCCAUUUCCACUUCCUUGAUUUGUAUUAUUUUCCUUCAUUGGCUAUGAAUACUGAUUUAUCUCAUUGAUUUCAUAUGCAUCUUAAUUGCUUUUCUCUUGUGUGUUCAAAGUGUAUCUGAUGCAAGGGUCUGUCUACAAAGACAAUAUGUCCUAUUUAUAUAUUAUCUAUUGUGGACUGUAAACAGUAAUGGCAGAGUCUGUCUUUUCUCUAUCACACUUGUAAAUAUGCCCAGAGGCUAAGCAGCUUCUCCAAUAAGUAAAAUAAAUAAUGAAUUAAGUAAGUGGACUUGUCACUCUCUGUGUGGAAUAUUUAUGCUUUGCCCCUUAUCUCAGUAAAAGGGUCAGCACAGGGUGAUAGCGUUUACUCUCCUCUUUUAUUUAAUUUUUUUGUCCCCCUCCUGCAGCGCCCAUGCUUUCAUUACAUGAAUCUGAGAGCUAAAGUUUCUAGCUUCUCUACAUUGUUUACAUCUAAAGACAUCUAAGUUUGUUCAUAAAGUACUCUGAAACCUGUAGGAAAAAAAUUCUCUGUGCCAUUAGGUUUAUAAAACUACCUGUUUUAUUUGAACCAGAACUUUCAUCUAGCACUUAAGCCAGAUGGAAGCUUUUAAAAGUUACAUUUUUUAAAAAGUGUGGUAACAGUUAUAUACAUUAAUCUGAAAGAAAAAGAACAAGCAACUCUGGGUUUAACAUAUUUGCUUCUUCCUUCUUUCCCUCCCCACCCCUCAAUCUCUGUGAGGUUCCUACCUCUCCCCGGUGGAGACCACGUGCUGUUAUUUCAUAAUGCACUCUGUCAGUGACAUCAAACUACCUGGAGAUCUGCUAGAUCGGACAAGGUGUCUUUAUAGGAAGAGAGGAAUUCUGAAAUUAGAAAACUGUGCAUCCGUCUUGAACAGCCUGUAUAGAGAUUUAUUCCACCAAGGAUUCCAUCUACUCACCCACGUGGAGAAGCCCAGGCCUGGACAAGGAACUCUCAGCCAGAGCAACGAGCCCUCUUUCAUCAGUGGCAUUUACCAGAGCCCUACUGAUAAAAGGACAAGCGGACAGGAAUGCAAGAUUCGGCACAUAAAUGACACCACAUGAUAUCUGUCUUUGGCUUACUUCACUUAGUAUGAUAACUGCACAGUAUUUUUGACUCACUGAACUCAAAAGGGAAUUCCAGGUAGGUCUUCUCAGCACAAUUCUCAAAAGACAACCACUAACCACUAUGCCCCUUAAAAGACAAGCUCUCUCACCAGCAAGCAUUUAUCACAAGCACAGUGAUGGGUAGUGCCUAAAUUUAGAAGACUAAAUGUCUCGAUGUCAAAAGGGCACAAUUUAAUAGUGUAGUGUAGUGUAGUGAUACAUUUUUCCUUCUUUCUUUUUACCAUCAAUCCUUUAGGUAACAAAGGGCCUAAGGAAGACAACCUCCAAUUUUAAAAUAAGCAUCACUCCAGGAAGCCAUUCUGUCCCCAGGCCCAGGUCCUAGUACCAACAAAGAGGAAGGUUACAUGAUGAAGCCGGAGCCAGUGAAUAACGCCUAACAGAGGUAGUGCUCAGUAAUUGGUAAAGCCCAAACAAAGAACUCCAUCCCCUUCCACAUUCCUCAACAGUGAUCGGGCAUAUCACCUUUGGAAGGACGGCCAAAGGAAAACUACGAUCACACCUCACUGCCAAUAACCUGAGAAACACACUUCCAGAGUACAGAAUCGGUGCCCAAAACACUAAGUGUCUUUGCCUCUAUAACUGUCUUUUUCCAUCAAGAAGUUACAGACUUGAGACAAGUUCACACUGAAUGUAUGCUUCCAAGAGCUUUCCCUGAUGAUGAAAUGGGAUACUGCAAGCCUAGCUCUCCCAGGCAUUUUCGUUCCAGACCAAAAAAUAAAAGAGAACAAGUUUUCAGAACUGAAGCUCCCAUAAGCUAGUGCCAAGUGUACACUGUUCAAUUGUCUGUGUGAGCCCCUGCUCUGGAAAUACUGGGUUGGCCAAGAAGUUUGUUUGGAAUCUUCUGUAAAUGGUAUCUUUUUUUUUCUUUUUAGAUUCUACA